AUGUCUGGGAUUUUGGCUGGGAGGGCACAUCCUACCAGGAAUGGGCGGCUGAGGGAGCGUCGGCCAUUUUCCCCUCACGUUUUCCCGCUCUUUUUCCCCUCACGUUUUCUCUUUUUCCCCUCACGUUUCCCCCUCUUUUCCCCUCACGUUUCCCGCUCUUUUCCCUUCACAUUUCCCGCUCUUUUCCCCUCACAUUUCCUGCUCUUUUCCCCUCACAUUCCCGUUAUUUUUCCCCUCACAUUUUCCCGCUCUUCUUCCCCUCACGUUUCCUGCUCUUUUUCCCCUCACAUUUCCCACCCUUUCCCCCUCAUGUUUCCUGCUUUUUCCCCUCACAUUUCCUGCUCUUUUCCCCUCACGUUUCCCACCCAUUUCCCCUCAUGUUUCCUGCUUUUUCCCCGCACACUCCCGCUCUUUUCCCCUCACAUUUCCCGCUCUUUUCCCCUCACGUUUCCCUCUCUUUUUCCCCUCACAUCCCCGUUAUUUUUCCCCUCACGUUUCCCGCUCUUUUCCCCUCACAUUCCCAUUAUUUUUCCCCUCACAUUUUCCCGCUCUUUUCCCCUCACGUUUCCCACCAUUUUUCCCCUCACGUUUCCCACUCUUUUUCCCCUCACGUUUCCCGCUCUUUUCCCCUCACGUUUCCCGCUCUUUUUCCCCUCACGUUUCCCCCUCUUUUCCCCUCACGUUUCCCGCUCUUUUCCCUUCACAUUUCCCGCUCUUUUCCCCUCACAUUUCCUGCUCUUUUCCCCUCACAUUCCCGUUAUUUUUCCCCUCACAUUUUCCCGCUCUUCUUCCCCUCACGUUUCCUGCUCUUUUUCCCCUCACAUUUCCCACCCUUUCCCCCUCAUGUUUCCUGCUUUUUCCCCUCACAUUUCCUGCUCUUUUCCCCUCACGUUUCCCACCCAUUUCCCCUCAUGUUUCCUGCUUUUUCCCCGCACACUCCCGCUCUUUUCCCCUCACAUUUCCCGCUCUUUUCCCCUCACGUUUCCCUCUCUUUUUCCCCUCACAUCCCCGUUAUUUUUCCCCUCACGUUUCCCGCUCUUUUCCCCUCACAUUCCCAUUAUUUUUCCCCUCACAUUUUCCCGCUCUUUUUCCCCUCACAUUUCCCGCUCUUUUUCCCCCCUCACGUUUCCCACCAUUUUCCCUCAUAAUUAA
rnacentral:lncRNA from 1 species